rnacentral:rRNA from 1 species
GAUGAACGCUGGCGGCGUGCCUAAUACAUGCAAGUCGAGCGAACGGACGAGAAGCUUGCUUCUCUGAUGUUAGCGGCGGACGGGUGAGUAACACGUGGAUAACCUACCUAUAAGACUGGGAUAUCUUCGGGAAACCGGAGCUAAUACCGGAUAAUAUUUUGAACCGCAUGGUUCAAAAGUGAAAGACGGUCUUGCUGUCACUUAUAGAUGGAUCCGCGCUGCAUUAGCUAGUUGGUAAGGUAACGGCUUACCAAGGCAACGAUGCAUAGCCGAACUGAGAGGGUGAUCGGCCAAACUGGAACGGAGACACGGUCCAGACGCCUACGGGAGGCAGCAGAAGGGAAUAUUGCGCAAUGGGCGAAAGCCUGACGGAGCAACGCCGCGUGAGUGAUGAAGGUCUUCGGAUCGUAAAACUCUGUUAUUAGGGAAGAACAUAUGUGUAAGUAACUGUGCACAUCUUGACGGUACCUAAUCAGAAAGCCACGGCUAACUACGUG